rnacentral:ncRNA from 1 species
AAGUUUUGGUCCUAAACUUGCCAUUGUUUUUUAUCAAAAUUAUACAUGCAAGCCUCCACAACCCAGUGAGAAUGCCCACACACCCUAAACAGCCAGCCGGAGCAGGCAUCAGGAUACAACAUAUUUGGCCCAAGACGCCUUGCACUCGCCACACCCACACGGGCUUUCAGCAGUAAUUAACAUUAAAACAUGAGUGAAAACUUGAUUUAGUUAUGAUUAAUGUGGCCGGUAAAUUUCGUGCCAGCCACCGCGGUUAUACGAAAGGCCAAAAACAAUAGCCUACGGCGUAAAGCGUGACUAGAGUAAACCAAACAUUAAAGGGGUACAACCGCCAAGUUGUAAAACACUACUGCACGUUAGAACCACAACGAACCAAGCCUUUAAGUCCACUUUACCUCACGAAAGCUAAGAAACAAACUGGGAUUAGAUACCCCACUAUGCUUAGCCCUAAACACAGAUAGUACCCCCACAAAACUAUCCGCCAGAGAACUACAAGCGAAAAGCUCGAAACUCCAAGGACUUGGCGGUGCUUCAAAUCAAUCUAGAGGAGCCUGUCCUAUAAUCGAUACCCCACGUUUCACCUUACCCCUUCUAGCCAACCAGCCUAUAUACCGCCGUCGUCAGCCCACCUUAUGAAAGAAAUAAAGUGAGCGAAAUAGUCACUAACUAACACGUCAGGUCAAGGUGUAGCACACGAAGCGGUAGAGAUGGGCUACAUUUUUUCAAAGUAAAAACACAAAUAGUAACCUGAAACACAUGCUUGAAGGCGGAUUUAGUAGUAAGACAAGAAAUAAUGCUAGUCUUAAACCUGCUCUGAAGCGCGCACACACCGCCCGUCACCCUCAUCA